rnacentral:rRNA from 1 species
UACGGAGGGGGCUAGCGUUGUUCGGAAUUACUGGGCGUAAAGCGCGCGUAGGCGGCUUUGUAAGUUAGAGGUGAAAGCCCGGAGCUCAACUCCGGAACUGCCUUUAAGACUGCAUCGCUAGAAUUGUGGAGAGGUGAGUGGAAUUCCGAGUGUAGAGGUGAAAUUCGUAGAUAUUCGGAAGAACACCAGUGGCGAAGGCGACUCACUGGACAUGUAUUGACGCUGAGGUACGAAAGCGUGGGGAGCAAACAGG